GGGUUGUGAGGUUAAGCGACUAAGCGUACACGGUGGAUGCCCUGGCAGUCAGAGGCGAUGAAGGGCGUGCUAAUCUGCGAUAAGCGCCGGUAAGGUGAUAUGAACCGUUAUAACCGGCGAUACCCGAAUGGGGAAACCCAGUGUGACUCGUCACACUAUCAUUAACUGAAUCCAUAGGUUAAUGAGGCGAACCGGGGGAACUGAAACAUCUAAGUACCCCGAGGAAAAGAAAUCAACCGAGAUUCCCCCAGUAGCGGCGAGCGAACGGGGAGGAGCCCAGAGCCUGAAUCAGCAUGUGUGUUAGUGGAAGCGUCUGGAAAGGCGCGCGAUACAGGGUGACAGCCCCGUACACAAAAGCGCAUGUGCUGUGAGCUCGAUGAGUAGGGCGGGACACGUGGUAUCCUGUCUGAAUAUGGGGGGACCAUCCUCCAAGGCUAAAUACUCCUGACUGACCGAUAGUGAACCAGUACCGUGAGGGAAAGGCGAAAAGAACCCCGGCGAGGGGAGUGAAAAAGAACCUGAAACCGUGUACGUACAAGCAGUGGGAGCACCCUUUGGGGUGUGACUGCGUACCUUUUGUAUAAUGGGUCAGCGACUUAUAUUCUGUAGCAAGGUUAACCGUAUAGGGGAGCCGGAGGGAAACCGAGUCUUAACCGGGCGUUAAGUUGCAGGGUAUAGACCCGAAACCCGGUGAUCUAGCCAUGGGCAGGUUGAAGGUUGGGUAACACUAACUGGAGGACCGAACCGACUAAUGUUGAAAAAUUAGCGGAUGACCUGUGGCUGGGGGUGAAAGGCCAAUCAAACCGGGAGAUAGCUGGUUCUCCCCGAAAGCUAUUUAGGUAGCGCCUCGUGAAUUCAUCUCCGGGGGUAGAGCACUGUUUCGGCUAGGGGGCCAUCCCGGCUUACCAACCCGAUGCAAACUACGAAUACCGGAGAAUGUUAUCACGGGAGACACACGGCGGGUGCUAACGUCCGUCGUGAAGAGGGAAACAACCCAGACCGCCAGCUAAGGUCCCAAAGUCAUGGUUAAGUGGGAAACGAUGUGGGAAGGCCCAGACAGCCAGGAUGUUGGCUUAGAAGCAGCCAUCAUUUAAAGAAAGCGUAAUAGCUCACUGGUCGAGUCGGCCUGCGCGGAAGAUGUAACGGGGCUAAACCAUGCACCGAAGCUGCGGCAGCGAACGUAUCACUUAAAGCGAUUCAGCGGGUUACGAUUGACGGAGCGAAGCGACGUCAAAGCGUAUACAAAGUCGAGUCGGUUUAAGGAUACGUUCGUUGGGUAGGGGAGCGUUCUGUAAGCCUGUGAAGGUGGCCUGUGAGGGUUGCUGGAGGUAUCAGAAGUGCGAAUGCUGACAUAAGUAACGAUAAAGCGGGUGAAAAGCCCGCUCGCCGGAAGACCAAGGGUUCCUGUCCAACGUUAAUCGGGGCAGGGUGAGUCGACCCCUAAGGCGAGGCCGAAAGGCGUAGUCGAUGGGAAACGGGUUAAUAUUCCCGUACUUGGUGUUACUGCGAAGGGGGGACGGAGAAGGCUAUGUUGGCCGGGCGACGGUUGUCCCGGUUUAAGCGUGUAGGUGUGUGUUCCAGGUAAAUCCGGUUCACUUUAACACUGAGGCGUGACGACGAGGCACUACGGUGCUGAAGCAACAAAUGCCCUGCUUCCAGGAAAAGCCUCUAAGCAUCAGGUAACAUCAAAUCGUACCCCAAACCGACACAGGUGGUCAGGUAGAGAAUACCAAGGCGCUUGAGAGAACUCGGGUGAAGGAACUAGGCAAAAUGGUGCCGUAACUUCGGGAGAAGGCACGCUGACACGUAGGUGAAGUGAUUUACUCACGGAGCUGAAGUCAGUCGAAGAUACCAGCUGGCUGCAACUGUUUAUUAAAAACACAGCACUGUGCAAACACGAAAGUGGACGUAUACGGUGUGACGCCUGCCCGGUGCCGGAAGGUUAAUUGAUGGGGUCAGCGCAAGCGAAGCUCCUGAUCGAAGCCCCGGUAAACGGCGGCCGUAACUAUAACGGUCCUAAGGUAGCGAAAUUCCUUGUCGGGUAAGUUCCGACCUGCACGAAUGGCGUAAUGAUGGCCAGGCUGUCUCCACCCGAGACUCAGUGAAAUUGAACUCGCUGUGAAGAUGCAGUGUACCCGCGGCAAGACGGAAAGACCCCGUGAACCUUUACUAUAGCUUGACACUGAACAUUGAGCCUUGAUGUGUAGGAUAGGUGGGAGGCUUUGAAGUGUGGACGCCAGUCUGCAUGGAGCCGGCCUUGAAAUACCACCCUUUAAUGUUUGAUGUUCUAACGUGGACCCGUUACCCGGGUUGCGGACAGUGUCUGGUGGGUAGUUUGACUGGGGCGGUCUCCUCCUAAAGAGUAACGGAGGAGCACGAAGGUUGGCUAAUCCUGGUCGGACAUCAGGAGGUUAGUGCAAUGGCAUAAGCCAGCUUGACUGCGAGCGUGACGGCGCGAGCAGGUGCGAAAGCAGGUCAUAGUGAUCCGGUGGUUCUGAAUGGAAGGGCCAUCGCUCAACGGAUAAAAGGUACUCCGGGGAUAACAGGCUGAUACCGCCCAAGAGUUCAUAUCGACGGCGGUGUUUGGCACCUCGAUGUCGGCUCAUCACAUCCUGGGGCUGAAGUAGGUCCCAAGGGUAUGGCUGUUCGCCAUUUAAAGUGGUACGCGAGCUGGGUUUAGAACGUCGUGAGACAGUUCGGUCCCUAUCUGCCGUGGGCGCUGGAGAACUGAGGGGGGCUGCUCCUAGUACGAGAGGACCGGAGUGGACGCAUCACUGGUGUUCGGGUUGUCAUGCCAAUGGCACUGCCCGGUAGCUAAAUGCGGAAGAGAUAAGUGCUGAAAGCAUCUAAGCACGAAACUUGCCCCGAGAUGAGUUCUCCCUGAGGCUUUAGGUCUCCUGAAGGAACGUUGAAGACGACGACGUUGAUAGGCCGGGUGUGUAAGCGCAGCGAUGCGUUGAGCUAACCGGUACUAAUGAACCGUGAGGCUUAACCUUACAACGCCGAAG
rnacentral:rRNA from 1 species